CCUACGGGCGGCAGCAGUCGAGAAUCAUUCACAAUGGGGGAAACCCUGAUGGUGCGACGCCGCGUGGGGGAAUGAAGGUCUUCGGAUUGUAAACCCCUGUCAUGUGGGAGCAAAUUAAAAAGAUAGUACCACAAGAGGAAGAGACGGCUAACUCUGUGCCAGCAGCCGCGGUAAUACAGAGGUCUCAAGCGUUGUUCGGAAUCACUGGGCGUAAGGCGUGCGUAGGCUGUUUCGUAAGUCGUGUGUGAAAGGCGCGGGCUCAACCCGCGGACGGCACAUGAUACUGCGAGACUAGAGUAAUGGAGGGGGAACCGGAAUUCUCGGUGUAGCAGUGAAAUGCGUAGAUAUCGAGAGGAACACUCGUGGCGAAGGCGGGUUCCUGGACAUUAACUGACGCUGAGGCACGAAGGCCAGGGGAGCGAAAGGGAUUAGAUACCCGGGUAGUCC
rnacentral:rRNA from 1 species